AAUUCAUUAAUAUCCAUACUUUAAGUUGAAUAUGAGCCAGCAGUUUGCCCUGGCAGCCAGGAGGGCCAACCGUAUCCUGGGGUGCAUCAAUCAUGGCAUUGCUAGUCGGCCAAGGGAAGUGAUUGUCCUGCUCUACUCUGUGCUGGUGCGGCCUCACCUCGAGUACUGUGUGCAGUUCUGGGCACCACAGUACAAAAAAGGACAUUAAACUGUUGGAGAGUGUCCAGAGGAGGGCGACGAAGAUGGUGAAGGGCCUAGAGGGGAAGACGUAUGAGGAGCGGCUGAGGUCACUGGGCCUGUUCAGCCUGGAGAAGAGGAGGCUGAGGGGGGACUUCAUUGUGGUCUACAACUUCCUCGUGAGGGGGAGUGGAGAGGCAGCAGCCGAAAGAGCCAGAAGCAGGCCCCAGGAGCAAAGUGAGAAGGAAAGCCCUCCAGACCUUGAGAAGUUGGCUCAUCUGUGGUGCUUAGCAUGAGGACUGUGGCAGGUUGGCUGAAAGGGACAAGUGAAAUGCAGGGGAACACAGCCACCGUCCUCAUUCCCUUACAGAAGACACACUAUCCCUGCAUAAGUGAUGCUGAUGCUUUUUGGAGAGUUGCUGUCAAGCUGUCGUGUCUUCCUGCUUGACAGCUCCACUGGAGGAAGAAAAGGCCCAUCGGACUGAGGAUGAUUUGUAAACAAUAAAGAAAGGAAGAAGGAGCAUUUGGUACCCUACCAUGUCUUACAGUGUAAAAACCAAUGCCGUGUUACCAGUAGUUGACACAAAGAGAGCUGUCUUCAACUGUCAGACGCUUCCUUAUGCAAAAGUGCAAUAAAGCAACA